UCCGUUUCCGCGUAUUCCGCUCCAUGGGACGCCACCCUGACAGUUCUGGCGGGAUUUGGGAUAGCAGGAAGGUUAAGUGCCCAGACAGCACAUGAUAUUAUACGAAUAUUUUGUACUCAUACUAUUAAUAACCUGUAGUUACUAGUAACCACUUACUGCCGCGACGUGGCGACCGCGCGUUAGCCUUUCUCGAAGCCUACUGAUGCCCUACUACCCUCAAUUAGAAAUUAUAUAGCGUAACAAGGGGCAAGUCAUGAGGUCUUGAUAAGGAAAACCUGACCAGGCAAUUAAUUAUGUGAUCAAAAUAUUUUAUUAAUAUACUUAUGAUAUACCAAAAAAUAUUCUCCGUAUAUGUAUACUUAAUAGACUUCUAGGGCAGACAUAGAAACAUCCUCCGUACAUUCUUAAAAUAUCGUGGUACGUAUUUCGAAAAUUAAUGGGAUAUACACAAUCUACGUUUGCAAUAUACUGCGUAUAUACUCAGAAUCUACUGUGCUGUAUGGGUAAUAUGAGUGCUUUGAUGGAUCCCCUUUGAUUUUUAUAAAUUCAUAUAACUUUUUUCAUAAAAAAAUAUCACUUGAUGCGUUA